rnacentral:rRNA from 1 species
GCUUGACUGCGAGGCCGACGGGCCGGGCAGGUACGAAAGUAGGACUUAGUGAUCCGGUGGUAUGAAAGUGGGAUUGCCAUCGCUCAACGGAUAAAAGCUACCCUGGGGAUAACAGGCUUAUCACUCCCAAGAGUUCACAUCGACGGAGUGGUUUGGCACCUCGAUGUCGGCUCAUCGCAUCCUGGGGCUGCAGCAGGUCCCAAGGGUUGGGCUGUUCGCCCAUUAAAGCGGUACGCGAGCUGGGUUCAGAACGUCGUGAGACAGUUCGGUCCCUAUCCGGCGCGGGCGCAGGAUAUCUGAAAGGAGCCGGCCUUAGUACGAGAGGACCGGGCUGGACGAACCUCUGGUUUACCUGUUGUCGCACCAGCGGCAUGGCAGGGUGGCCAAGUUUGGAAGGGAUAAACGCUGAAGGCAUCUAAGCGUGAAGCCCCCCUUAAGAUGAGAUAUCCCCGGAGGAAUCCGGUAAGACCCCUUAAAGACGAUGAGGUAGAUAGGGCAGGGGUGGAAGCAUGGCAACAUGCGGAGCUGACUG